rnacentral:rRNA from 1 species
UGGGGAAUUUUGGACAAUGGGCGAAAGCCUGAUCCAGCAAUGCCGCGUGUGUGAAGAAGGCCUUCGGGUUGUAAAGCACUUUUGUCCGGAAAGAAAUGGCUCUGGUUAAUACCUGGGGUCGAUGACGGUACCGGAAGAAUAAGGACCGGCUAACUACGUGCCAGCAGCCGCGGUAAUACGUAGGGUCCAAGCGUUAAUCGGAAUUACUGGGCGUAAAGCGUGCGCAGGCGGUUGUGCAAGACCGAUGUGAAAUCCCCGGGCUUAACUUGGGAAUUGCAUUGGUGACUGCAAGGCUAGAGUGUGUCAGAGGGGGGUAGAAUUCCACGUGUAGCAGUGAAAUGCGUAGAGAUGUGGAGGAAUACCGAUGGCGAAGGCAGCCCCCUGGGAUAACACUGACGCUCAUGCACGAAAGCGUGGGGAGCAAACAGG